CAUCCUGUUUUUUUUGUUCAUAUGACUUUAGUUGGACUCAAAGGUCUUUCCAUUACAGUUUUGUGCGAUAUACCAAUUUAACUACACCUGAAAAACCACCUCUCACAAGCGCAAAAACUUUUCAUCUAAAAAGGAGAGUUUUGGUGAAAUUGUUGUUUUUCCAUUAGAAAAAUUUUUAUGCACAAGUUAUAUUCACGCAGUUUGAGGGUCAAUGGAAAGGGGACU